AGAGUUUGAUCCUGGCUCAGAACGAACGCUGAUGGCGUGCCUCAUACAUGCAAGUCGAGCGGGGUCCUUCGGGAUCCAGCGGCGGACGGGUGAGUAACACGUAAAUAAUCUGCCCUCGAGACUGGGAUAACCCGCCCAACGGCGGGCUAAUACCGGAUAGGGUUAUCUUGUCGCAUGGCGAGAUAACGAAAGGCGCUUUCGGGCGUUACUUGAGGAUGAGUUUGCGGCCCAUUAGCCAGUUGGCGGGGUAACGGCCCACCAAAGCAACGAUGGGUAGCCGGCCUGAGAGGGUGUACGGCCACAUUGGGACUGAGAUACGGCCCAGACUCCUACGGGAGGCAGCAGUAGGGAAUUUUGCGCAAUGGGGGAAACCCUGACGCAGCAACGCCAUGUGAGGGAUGAAGCAUUUCGGUGUGUAAACCUCCGUCGGCAGGGAAUAAACUCCGCGUAAGGCGGACUGAAUGUACCUGCAAAGGAAGCCCCGGCUAACUUCGUGCCAGCAGCCGCGGUAAUACGAGGGGGGCAAGUGUUGUUCGGAAUCACUGGGUGUAAAGGGAGCGUAGGCGGAAGCCCAAGUCAGAUGUUUAAUUUCAGGGCCUAACCCUGAACUUGCGUUUGAAACUGGAUUUCUCGAAUAUAGGAGAGGUGAAUGGAAUUCCCGGUGUAGCGGUGGAAUGCGUAGAUAUCGGGAGGAACACCAGCUGCGAAGGCGAUUCACUGGCCUAAUAUUGACGCUGAGGCUCGAAAGCGUGGGGAGCAAACAGGAUUAGAUACCCUGGUAGUCC
rnacentral:rRNA from 1 species